rnacentral:rRNA from 1 species
UAGGAGCAGGCUUUGUCCUGUGACUGCGUACCUUUUGUAUAAUGGGUCAGCGACUUAUAUUCAGUGGCAAGGUUAACCAUCUAGGGGAGCCGUAGGGAAACCGAGUCUUAACUGGGCGUUCAGUCUCUGGAUAUAGACCCGAAACCAGGUGAUCUAGCCAUGGGCAGGUUGAAGGUUGAGUAACAUCAACUGGAGGACCGAACCGACUAAUGUUGAAAAAUUAGCGGAUGACUUGUGGCUAGGGGUGAAAGGCCAAUCAAACCUGGAGAUAGCUGGUUCUCCCCGAAAGCUAUUUAGGUAGCGCCUCGGACGAAUACUACUGGGGGUAGAGCACUGUUAAGGCUAGGGGGUCAUCCCGACUUACCAACCCUUUGCAAACUCCGAAUACCAGUAAGUACUAUCCGGGAGACACACGGCGGGUGCUAACGUCCGUCGUGGAGAGGGAAACAACCCAGACCGCCAGCUAAGGUCCCAAAUUACUACUAAGUGGGAAACGAUGUGGGAAGGCUCAGACAGCCAGGAUGUUGGCUUAGAAGCAGCCAUCAUUUAAAGAAAGCGUAAUAGCUCACUGGUCGAGUCGGCCUGCGCGGAAGAUGUAACGGGGCUAAGUAGUAAACCGAAGCUGCGGCAAUGUGCUUUUGCACAUUGGGUAGGGGAGCGUUCUGUAAGCGGUUGAAGGUGUGUGGUAACGCAUGCUGGACGUAUCAGAAGUGCGAAUGCUGACAUGAGUAACGAUAAAGGGGGUGAAAAACCUCCUCGCCGGAAGACCAAGGGUUCCUGUCCAACGUUAAUCGGGGCAGGGUAAGUCGACCCCUAAGGCGAGGCCGAAAGGCGUAGUCGAUGGGAAACGGGUUAAUAUUCCCGUACUUCUUACAAUUGCGAUGGGGGGACGGAGAAGGCUAGGUGGGCCUGGCGACGGUUGUCCAGGUUCAAGUGCGUAGGCUUAAGAGUUAGGUAAAUCCGGCUCUUUUUAAGGCUGAGACACGACGUCGAGCACCUACGGGUGUGAAGUCAUUGAUGCCAUGCUUCCAGGAAAAGCCUCUAAGCUUCAGAUUGUAAGGAAUCGUACCCCAAACCGACACAGGUGGUCGGGUAGAGAAUACCAAGGCGCUUGAGAGAACUCGGGUGAAGGAACUAGGCAAAAUGGUACCGUAACUUCGGGAGAAGGUACGCUCUUGAUGGUGAAGUCCCUUGCGGAUGGAGCUGACGAGAGUCGCAGAUACCAGGUGGCUGCAACUGUUUAUUAAAAACACAGCACUGUGCAAAAUCGUAAGAUGACGUAUACGGUGUGACGCCUGCCCGGUGCCGGAAGGUUAAUUGAUGGGGUUAGACUUCGGUCGAAGCUCUUGAUCGAAGCCCCGGUAAACGGCGGCCGUAACUAUAACGGUCCUAAGGUAGCGAAAUUCCUUGUCGGGUAAGUUCCGACCUGCACGAAUGGCGUAAUGAUGGCCACGCUGUCUCCACCCGAGACUCAGUGAAAUUGAAAUCGCUGUGAAGAUGCAGUGUACCCGCGGCUAGACGGAAAGACCCCGUGAACCUUUACUACAGCUUGGCACUGAACAUUG